UACGAAGGGGGCUAGCGUUGCUCGGAAUCACUGGGCGUAAAGGGUGCGUAGGCGGCGCGGUAAGUCGGGUGUGAAAUUUCGAGGCUUAACUUCGAAACUGCAUUCGAUACUGCCGUGCUAGAGGACUGGAGAGGAGACUGGAAUUUACGGUGUAGCGGUGAAAUGCGUAGAUAUCGUAAGGAAGACCAGUGGCGAAGGCGGGUCUCUGGACAGUUCCUGACGCUGAGGCACGAAGGCCAGGGGAGCAAACGGG
rnacentral:rRNA from 1 species